UUGGGUUUGGCUCAGAGGUUUAGAGCACUGAUUGCUCUUCCAGAGGUCCUGAGUUCAAUUCCCAGCACCCACA
rnacentral:tRNA from 1 species